rnacentral:lncRNA from 1 species
CCUGCCACCUAUCCUCAAAGAUCCAUGGAGCCAAAAAAAUAAAGACUAUUUUUUCUCGAGCAACUGGGGUGGAAUUUUGCAACGCUCCAAGAUUCCCUUAAGACUUUAAAAGAGUCCAGUCGACAGAACAUGUUUAUCAUAGAGGAGGGCAGUAGUCUCUGAGGUUCAAAUUUAAGGCAAAGUUGAACACGAUUGCUGUAAUUUCCCAAUGAAAAGCAAUAUUAAUGCAUCCAACUAAUUGGUCAUUGCACGCACCAUAAAUGGGAAGUCAGCUGACUUCCGAUCUUAUUCCUCUGGUCAGCACAUCAAUAUCUUUGUUAUCAUACUUUUUAGCUACAGGUAGCAACACAUUGUUAAUUUUUUGAAGAAAACACUCCACUAAUUUUUUGGAUAUCAUUAUCAUUAAUUUGCAAAUAUGAAAAUGAAGCACAGCUCAAGUUAUUCCAAAAUUAGUGAAGUAUUAAAAUUCAGACUAUAUUGAUAAGAUUUUUCAUUACUAGACUAUCAUAUCUGACUCAAUACUUUGAUAGUCCUAUUAAUUUGUUUGCAAACCAUUUGCGGCUAAGAAUUUUGGAGUCACUGAUUUU